rnacentral:rRNA from 1 species
GACGAACGCGGGCGGCGUGCUAAUACAUGCAAGUGGGACGCAAGGAAACACACUGUGCUUGCACACCGUGUUUUCUUGAGUCGCGAACGGGUGAGUAACGCGUAGGUAACCUGCCUAUUAGCGGGGGAUAACUAUUGGAAACGAUAGCUAAUACCGCAUAAUAUUAAUUAUUGCAUGAUAAUUGAUUGAAAGAUGCAAGCGCAUCACUAGUAGAUGGACCUGCGUUGUAUUAGCUAGUUGGUAAGGUAAGAGCUUACCAAGGCGACGAUACAUAGCCGACCUGAGAGGGUGAUCGGCCACACUGGGACUGAGACACGGCCCAGACUCCUACGGGAGGCAGCAGUAGGGAAUCUUCGGCAAUGGACGAAAGUCUGACCGAGCAACGCCGCGUGAGUGAAGAAGGUUUUCGGAUCGUAAAGCUCUGUUGUAAGUCAAGAACGUGUGUGAGAGUGGAAAGUUCACACAGUGACGGAGCUACCA